UGGGAUGUGCACUGGGGGGCAAACUUUCAUAUUUCUAUUUUGUAAUGUAUAUCAUCCAUUUUUGUUUAAUAUCGUUAAGAAAAUCAUAAUGGAAAUGGCGUAUAUCUCUGCUUUUCGUCACAUUCUGAGAGGGUCUUCCAUGGCGUCGACGAUUUUUUGCUCUCAAUUCGUUUGGACUCACCACAUUACUACCCUACCUACGCUUGCCAGUCCUAAGCUCUUUCACACACGCGCGCACACGUAAUUCGAUGUAAUUUGCUCGUAAUACUAGUUUAACCAGAGGUCUAAAACUUCGGGGAGUUUUGGUCUAUCGCUGUUUGUAAUUUAUUUAUUUAUUUACAUUUUGAGUACUGUCUUUACGUUUAUGCAAUUUGAAAUAUGUGCCUUACGUAGGAGGAAGUGGAACAUAGAGGUAUAGAGGAAGUUGAGUUACCCUACUUUUGAUACUCCAAAAUUGGUAUCAAGUAUAGAAGUACUAGCAUAAAUCUGAAACAUUAGUAGGCUUGGUGUUGUAUAGACCUAUUUUAUGCAUGAUUAUGUUGGACCACAUUUUCGGUGUGUUCGAAUUGAGAAACCAUCUUUUCCUUUAUGUGUAUGGGGAGAUUGGUUAUUUAGUAAUGGGCCCUUGGAGAAGCCAGUAUCAUGCAAUGUGUGCAGCUCUCGGUAGAGAAC
rnacentral:lncRNA from 1 species